UGCCAGCAGCCGCGGUAAUACGGAGGGUGCAAGCGUUAAUCGGAAUUACUGGGCGUAAAGCGCGCGUAGGCGGUUACUUAAGUGGGAUGUGAAAGCCCAGGGCUUAACCUUGGAACUGCAUCCCAAACUGGGUGACUAGAGUACGAUAGAGGGGGGUGGAAUUUCCGGUGUAGCGGUGAAAUGCGUAGAGAUCGGAAGGAACACCAGUGGCGAAGGCGGCUUUCUGGACCGAUACUGACGCUGAGACGCGAAAGCGUGGGGAGCAAACAGGAUUAGAUA
rnacentral:rRNA from 1 species